rnacentral:rRNA from 1 species
UACGAAGGCCCCGAGCGUUAUCCGGAUUUAUUGGGCGUAAAGCGUUAAAAGGUGGUUCGAUAAGUACCUGGUCAAAUCUCAUGGCUCAACCAUGAGGCUGCCGGGUAAACUGUCGGACUUGAGGGCGGAAGAGGCAAGCGGAACUACCGGUGUAGUGGUAAAAUGCGUUCAUAUCGGUAGGAACACCAAAGGCGAAGGCAGCUUGCUGGUACGAUCCUGACACUAAAUAACGAAAGCGUGGGGAGCGAAUGGG